AGCUCGAUGAGUAGGGCGGGACACGUGGUAUCCUGUCUGAAUAUGGGGGGACCAUCCUCCAAGGCUAAAUACUCCUGACUGACCGAUAGUGAACCAGUACCGUGAGGGAAAGGCGAAAAGAACCCCGGCGAGGGGAGUGAAAAAGAACCUGAAACCGUGUACGUACAAGCAGUGGGAGCCUCUUUAUGGGGUGACUGCGUUCCUUUUGUAUAAUGGGUCAGCGACUUAUAUUCUGUAGCAAGGUUAACCGAAUAGGGGAGCCGAAGGGAAACCGAGUCUUAACUGGGCGUUAAGUUGCAGGGUAUAGACCCGAAACCCGGUGAUCUAGCCAUGGGCAGGUUGAAGGUUGGGUAACACUAACUGGAGGACCGAACCGA
rnacentral:rRNA from 1 species